UGGUGAGCAGGUCCUUACAGGCCCGGGACACCAGCGGCUCACUGUGCACCCUGAGAGAAGAGCUUCUGUCAAGCCAUGUCAAGGAUCUGGAGAGAACAGGUCAGGCAAGUUUGCCCUAGAACCACAUUCUCUCUUCCAGGGCUCAUCACAGUUCCUGUGUGAACCUGGAGCUUGGACCCCAGCACACGGCCUGCGUCGGCCAGAGUUCAACUUUAUCUGCCGAUGUGGAGGAGUUGGAGCGGGUCGAUUUCUGCUGCUGCACUCAAAUGUGUCCCUGCACCUGAGAAGAAGCUGCCUGAGGAAGUUCAUGGCUCAUGGUCCCUGCUAUCCUUGGCACCAGGGCCGUCCUUGGUGCUGCCCAGCUACGAGCAGGCUGUGAAACAGUCAGCUGUCAGAGCCUCAGAGCCGUCAGAGCCACCAGGCUUUCUGGUGAUAUUUCCCAACCAUCGGAGCCAACUGCUGCCUAAAUAUUAGAGCGGUAUGAACACCGACUCCCAGCUGGCCAUUAGCAAAACCACUGCCUUUGGAUAAGGGAUAAAUCAAUUCAGCAAAGAGGCUGGGAUCCAGAGCUCACAUUCAGCAGGGCUGAGACAGUUACACUGAGAUGAGAAGACUCAGCACCUCAGAAGGGUCCCCUAGAUGGUCCCUUACAUGCCUCCUCCUCCUGCUCCCCCUCCCCAAGGAUGCUGCCCAUCAGAGGGGCAGGCUGGACCUAGGCUGGGGUGCCGCCUCCUGGCCACCUGCAGUCUACAGGCCUGCAGAGCCGCCUUCUGGGGUGCGUGGUAAAGCGUGUUGCCCGCUCCCUGGCAUCUGGGACCUGAAACAAAUGAAGGAGGCCGGAAGGAGGCCUACUUGAAGGCCCUGCCAUCCAAUUCUGGGGACGUUGGUCCCACGGAGGAUGGCCUGGUGUUACGAUGGACACUUGGCAUUGCAGGGCGCCCUCCCAGAGCCACAGUGAGCUCCUUAUCCCCAACACCUCCCAGGGGACUUCAGGUGUCACUGAUGGAGUCCCUGACAAGGUCGUUGCCCACCAGCGCCCCAGGGCACCACCUGGCAUCCCUGCCCCCUGCAAGGCGUGGCGGGAAGCCUCAUGGUCCCACAGAUUCUGCUGAGACUGGGCCCCUCUCAUCCUAGCCCGGCCUGAGGGUCCGCCGCCCACAGCUCCACAGUCACCGCGCGGGGAACUGGGC
rnacentral:lncRNA from 1 species